rnacentral:rRNA from 1 species
GAUCGCAGUCUGCAACUCGACUGCGUGAAGGUGGAGUCGCUAGUAAUCGCGGAUCAGCAACGCCGCGGUGAAUGCGUUCCCGGGCCUUGUACACACCGCCCGUCAAGUCAUGAAAGUGGGCAGCACCCGAAGACGGUGGCCUAACCCUUGUGGGGGAGCCGUCUAAGGUGAGGCUCGUGAUUGGGACUAAGUCGUAACAAGGUAUC